rnacentral:rRNA from 1 species
AACUCUUAGCAACGGAUAUCUUGGUUCCCGCAACGAUGAAGAACGCAGCGAAAUGCGAUACGUAAUGCGAAUUGCAGAAUUCAGUGAAUCAUCAAAUCUUUGAACGCAAAUUGCACUCUCGGGUAUGCCCGGGAGUACGCUUCUUUCAGUAUCG